UACGGAGGGAGCUAGCGUUGUUCGGAAUUACUGGGCGUAAAGCGCACGUAGGCGGCUUUGUAAGUUAGAGGUGAAAGCCCGGGGCUCAACUCCGGAACUGCCUUUAAGACUGCAUCGCUUGAAUCCAGGAGAGGUGAGUGGAAUUCCGAGUGUAGAGGUGAAAUUCGUAGAUAUCGAGAGGAACACCUGCGGCGAAGGCGGGUUGCUGGGCUGACACUGACGCUGAUGCGCGAAAGCGUGGGGAGCAAACAGG
rnacentral:rRNA from 1 species